CCAGCAUGAGUGGGAGCUGGUGCGUAUUUUGACGAUGUUGUAUAUCAGUUGAAUGUCAUUUUUUCUUUGCUCCAGUGUUGUUGGAGAAGACUGUCCGCGGGGGCGGUUUGCGUGCGUCCGUUGGGCGGCUCGUAUAGGGGAGCACUGCACCGAUAUGUUGAUGGAGAACGGACCAUGGGGAUGGCGGCUUACGCGCGAC
rnacentral:lncRNA from 1 species